GUGGGGCAAUCUCAUCUCAAUAGAGACUCAACCUAAGACAAUGUAUGGUCCUUGUUGCCCCGACACCCUUGUUGGCAAUGUGAUUUACUGGUUGUCUAGGUAUGGGAGAGACGAUGGCGUAGUUGAGUUUGAUUUGGAGGGGCAGAAGCUUACCCUGAUCAAGGGGCCUCACAGUAUGAAUAAUUUUAGCAUAUGUCAGUGCCAGAUUAUACGAACAGAUGAUUGUAUUGUUGGUGUUGCCAUGUUGUCUUACCAGGACAUUCAAGUGUGGCAGAGGGAGGUCAAUUCUGAAGGUGUUUCCAUAUGGUUGGUCCAAAAGACAGUUGCAUUGCAUACCAUUCCGAAGACCCUUCCCCAAAUUUCGGAAACAAUGCCAUGGAACAAACUGAUGGGGUAUGAUGAGGACACCAAUGCAAUGAUUUUAUAUAUGCAUGAUAGUGCCUAUAUGGUUCAACUCAAGUCAAUACAUUCCACGAAAAUUGAUGUACCAUGCUCUACGAAGUACUAUCCUUUCAUGAGUUUCUACCUACCAGGCACAACCGUUGCUGGUGGAACUAAUGGAGCAAAAAAGUUAGGAUGAUUGUCUGGUUUGAUCUGCUAAUGUGCUAAAACGGUUCAACGGGUGAAGGGUGCUGCAAUUUUUAGUUGUUACCAAGUUUCUCGCAUCACAUCAAAUGUGCUCGGCGGUGUUUAUAUGUUAUCUUCAAAAAUGUAAUUGUGCCUUAUUCUAGUCAAGUAGGUAAUGUAGCAAGAUGCUUUUGAAUACCUAACUUGGGGUAUCAUUUCAAGUAGUAUCUCGUCACGCCUUUCAUUUUUUACAUGUGUGUGCUUGGCAGUCUUAUCUUC